CUAAUCAAGUCAAAUUAUCUUAAGAAUGUCAAUGAAUGAGAUUGGAUCCAUUGAUCUCCUCCAAGCUCAAACUCAAACCUGGAACCAUAUGUUCAACUUCAUAAGCUCUUCAGCAGCAAAAUGUGCAGUUCAGCUAGGCAUCCCAGAUGUCCUCUACAAGCAUGGUAAGCCCAUGUCUCUUUCCGACCUCACUGCUGAACUUUCCCUCAUCGACCAUUCCAAGGUUUCCUUCUUGCCAAUUUUAAUGCGGUUUUUAGUUCAUUCUGGUUUCCUAAACCAACAUGAAAAAGAACACUACUCUCUUACCCCAGCUACGCAACUUCUUGUGAAAGAUGACCCCUUGAGUAUGAGGUCAUACUUUCUGAUCAUUCAUGAUCCAGUUCUUUUAAAACCAUGGUCUUGUUUAAGUGAUUGGUUCCAAGAUGAUUCCUCUACUGCUUUUCAUACUGCUCAUGAGAUAUCUUUAUGGGAUUACUAUGUGCAAGAACCAAGAGUAGGUGAUAGUUUCAAUGAGGCAAUGGCCAGUGACUCGAGAUUGAUUUCCAAUGUUCUUAUUACGGAGUGUAAACAUGUUUUUGAGGGAUUGACGUCGUUGGUGGAUGUUGGAGGCGGCACUGGCACUCUUUUAAAUUAUAUGUAUAGUCGUUGUAAAACCAUCAGAUCAUCUAAAGAAUAUCUACAAGUAAAUCAAUCCUAUCAUCAAUUUAUGUGAAAUUUAGCGAAACUCAUUUCCAAGAUAUGUACUUUGAUCAAUCUCUUGUGGAUUCUGCAUAACUGGAACGACGAAGACUGUGUGAAGAUACUGAAGAAAUGCAAAGAGUCUAUUCCGAGUAGGGAAGAAGGAGGGAAGGUGAUAAUCAUAGACAUAGUGCUCGAAAAUCCGAAUGUGAGAAAUGAGUUUGUUCGAGCACAGCAUUAUAUGGACUUGUUAAUGAUGGUUUGCUAUGCUGCCAAACAGAGAACUAAAAUGGAUUGGGAGAGGCUCUUCACUGAUGCUGGUUUCAAUGAAUACAAAAUAACUCCCACUUUAGGAACAAGGUCUCUUAUUGAAAUAUACCCUUGAAGAAGUCUUGGCUUGAAAAGUGCGUAUGUUUAUGAAUUGUAUUGAAUCAACUUAUUUGGCUUGGCUUUUUUUU